rnacentral:rRNA from 1 species
AGAGUUUGAUCCUGGCUCAGGACGAACGCUGGCGGCGUGCCUAAUACAUGCAAGUCGAGCGGACAGAAGGGAGCUUGCUCCCGGAUGUUAGCGGCGGACGGGUGAGUAACACGUGGGUAACCUGCCUGUAAGACUGGGAUAACUCCGGGAAACCGGAGCUAAUACCGGAUAGUUCCUUGAACCGCAUGGUUCAAGGAUGAAAGACGGUUUCGGCUGUCACUUACAGAUGGACCCGCGGCGCAUUAGCUAGUUGGUGGGGUAAUGGCUCACCAAGGCGACGAUGCGUAGCCGACCUGAGAGGGUGAUCGGCCACACUGGGACUGAGACACGGCCCAGACUCCUACGGGAGGCAGCAGUAGGGAAUCUUCCGCAAUGGACGAAAGUCUGACGGAGCAACGCCGCGUGAGUGAUGAAGGUUUUCGGAUCGUAAAGCUCUGUUGUUAGGGAAGAACAAGUGCGAGAGUAACUGCUCGCACCUUGACGGUACCUAACCAGAAAGCCACGGCUAACUACGUGCCAGCAGCCGCGGUAAUACGUAGGUGGCAAGCGUUGUCCGGAAUUAUUGGGCGUAAAGGGCUCGCAGGCGGUUUCUUAAGUCUGAUGUGAAAGCCCCCGGCUCAACCGGGGAGGGUCAUUGGAAACUGGGAAACUUGAGUGCAGAAGAGGAGAGUGGAAUUCCACGUGUAGCGGUGAAAUGCGUAGAGAUGUGGAGGAACACCAGUGGCGAAGGCGACUCUCUGGUCUGUAACUGACGCUGAGGAGCGAAAGCGUGGGGAGCGAACAGGAUUAGAUACCCUGGUAGUCCACGCCGUAAACGAUGAGUGCUAAGUGUUAGGGGGUUUCCG